CUGGAGUCUUAAUCGAAGUAGGCAGCGGGGUAUCAAUGCAAACGGUUGAAAUGCAUAGUUCCUUGUGGGCGACCAGUCUUGGAUGAACACAUCUGUUGCCAGAGCUGAUGGGUCUGGUCUCCAACUGAAAAAUCUGGGGAGUUGUGUAUUCAAGCGGGAGGCGAAAAGAUCCUUGUCCAUGGGGCCCCAUAACGACUGGAUGUCUCUGAAGACUCUGGGGUCCAGUUGCCAAUCACU